AACAGGAUUAGAUACCCUGGUAGUCCACGCCGUAAACGAUGUCGAUUUGGAGGUUGUGCCCUUGAGGCGUGGCUUCCGGAGCUAACGCGUUAAAUCGACCGCCUGGGGAGUACGGCCGCAAGGUUAAAACUCAAAUGAAUUGACGGGGGCCCGCACAAGCGGUGGAGCAUGUGGUUUAAUUCGAUGCAACGCGAAGAACCUUACCUGGUCUUGACAUCCACAGAACUUUCCAGAGAUGGAUUGGUGCCUUCGGGAACUGUGAGACAGGUGCUGCAUGGCUGUCGUCAGCUCGUGUUGUGAAAUGUUGGGUUAAGUCCCGCAACGAGCGCAACCCUUAUCCUUUGUUGCCAGCGGUUAGGCCGGGAACUCAAAGGAGACUGCCAGUGAUAAACUGGAGGAAGGUGGGGAUGACGUCAAGUCAUCAUGGCCCUUACGACCAGGGCUACACACGUGCUACAAUGGCGCAUACAAAGAGAAGCGACCUCGCGAGAGCAAGCGGACCUCAUAAAGUGCGUCGUAGUCCGGAUUGGAGUCUGCAACUCGACUCCAUGAAGUCGGAAUCGCUAGUAAUCGUAGAUCAGAAUGCUACGGUGAAUACGUUCCCGGGCCUUGUACACACCGCCCGUCACACCAUGGGAGUGGGUUGCAAAAGAAGUAGGUAGCUUAACCUUCGGGAGGGCGCUUACCACUUUGUGAUUCAUGACUGGGGUGAAGUCGUAACAAGGUAACC
rnacentral:rRNA from 1 species